rnacentral:tRNA from 1 species
GCAGUGGUGGUUCAGCGGUAGAAUUUUCGCCUUCCAUGCAGGAGACCCAGGUUUGAUUCUCGGCAAAUGCA